GACGAACGCUGGCGGCGUGCUUAACACAUGCAAGUCGAACGGAAAGGCCCUGCUUUUGUGGGGUGCUCGAGUGGCGAACGGGUGAGUAACACGUGAGUAACCUGCCCUUGACUUUGGGAUAACUUCAGGAAACUGGGGCUAAUACCGGAUAGGAGCUCCUGCUGCAUGGUGGGGGUUGGAAAGUUUCGGCGGUUGGGGAUGGACUCGCGGCUUAUCAGCUUGUUGGUGGGGUAGUGGCUUACCAAGGCUUUGACGGGUAGCCGGCCUGGGAGGGUGACCGGCCACAUUGGGACUGGGAUACGGCGCAGACUCGUAGGGGAGGCAGCAGUGGGGAAUAUUGCACAAUGGGCGGAAGCCUGAUGCAGCAACGCCGCGUGCGGGAUGACGGCCUUCGGGUUGUAAACCGCUUUCGCCUGUGACGAAGCGUGAGUGACGGUAAUGGGUAAAGAAGCACCGGCUAACUACGUG
rnacentral:rRNA from 1 species